rnacentral:rRNA from 1 species
GACGAACGCUGGCGGCGUGCCUAAUACAUGCAAGUAGAACGCUGAAGAGAGGAGCUUGCUCUUCUUGGAUGAGUUGCGAACGGGUGAGUAGCGCGUAGGUAACCUGCCUUGUAGCGGGGGAUAACUAUUGGAAACGAUAGCUAAUACCGCAUAACAAUGGAUGACACAUGUCAUUUAUUUGAAAGGGGCAAUUGCUCCACUACAAGAUGGACCUGCGUUGUAUUAGCUAGUAGGUGAGGUAACGGCUCACCUAGGCGACGAUACAUAGCCGACCUGAGAGGGUGAUCGGCCACACUGGGACUGAGACACGGCCCAGACUCCUACGGGAGGCAGCAGUAGGGAAUCUUCGGCAAUGGGGGCAACCCUGACCGAGCAACGCCGCGUGAGUGAAGAAGGUUUUCGGAUCGUAAAGCUCUGUUGUAGUCAAGAACGAGUGUGAGAGUGGAAAGUUCACACUGUGACGGUAGCUUACCAGAAAGGGACGGCUAACUACGUGCCAGCCGCCGCUGUAA